AUGGCCACAGUGGCCAGUGGUUUUGAUGUGCUGGCUUCAGACACGAAGGCCCCAGAAGUAGCACAGCCCUCUAUGGGCUGGAAUCCUCUUCAGUUGCUCAAGGUCUUCAUGGAGCUUGUUACCCAGACCAUUGACCAGGACCUGACUAUAGUUUCCAGCCUUUCCAUCCUUCUGUCUGUUCAAGAACUGCGCUGCUGGGCCUGCAGGUCUCUGUUGAGCUGCGGACGCGGGUCUCUGUUCCCCAGGGUGGGGUUUGUUAAAGUUGUUAAGAAUAAGGCCUACUUUAAGAGAUACCAAGUGAAAUUUAGAAGACGACGAGAGGGUAAAAGUGAUUACUAUGCUCGGAAACGCUUGGUGAUACAGGAUAAAAAUAAAUCAACACACCCAAAUACAGGAUGCUAGUUCGUGUAACAAACAGAGAUAUCAUUUGUCAGAUUGCUUAUGCCCGUAUAGAGGGGGAUAUGAUAGUCUGCGCAGCAUAUGCACAUGAACUGCCAAAAUACGGUGUGAAGGUUGGCCUGACAAAUUACGCUGCAGCGUAUUGUACUGGCCUGCUGCUGGCCCGCAGGCUUCUCAAUAGGUUUGGCAUGGACAAGAGCUAUGAGGGCCAAGUGGAGGUGACUGGUGAUGAAUACAAUGUGGAAAGCAUUGAUGAUCAGCCAGGUGUCUUUACCUGCUAUUUGGAUGCAGGCCUUGCCAGAACUACCACUGGCAAUAAAGUUUUUGGUGCCCUGAAGGGAGCUGUGGAUGGAGGCUUGUCUAUCCCUCAUAGUACCAAGCGAUUCCCUGGUUGUGAUUCUGAAAGCGAGGAAUUUAAUGCAGGAGUACACCGGAAGCACAUCAUGGGCCAGAAUGUUGCAGAU